rnacentral:rRNA from 1 species
CAGUCGCCGCGGGAAUACGAAGGGGGCUAGCGUUGUUCGGAUUUACUGGGCGUAAAGGGCGCGUAGGCGGACUGAUAAGUCAGGGGUGAAAUCCCAAGGCUCAACCUUGGAACUGCCUUUGAUACUGUUUGUCUUGAGUUCGAGAGAGGUAAGUGGAACUGCGAGUGUAGAGGUGAAAUUCGUAGAUAUUCGCAGGAACACCAGUGGCGAAGGCGGCUUACUGGCUCGAAACUGACGCUGAGGCGCGAAAGCGUGGGGAGCAAACAGGAUUAGAUACCCCAGUAGUCCCUGUCUCUUAUAC